rnacentral:rRNA from 1 species
CAGUCGCCGCGGUAAUACGAAGGGGGCUAGCGUUGCUCGGAAUGACUGGGCGUAAAGGGCGCGUAGGCGGACAGUUAAGUUGGGGGUGAAAGCCCGGGGCUCAACCUCGGAAUUGCCUUCAAUACUGGCUGUCUUGAGUAUGAGAGAGGUGUGUGGAACUCCGAGUGUAGAGGUGAAAUUCGUAGAUAUUCGGAAGAACACCAGUGGCGAAGGCGACACACUGGCUCAUUACUGACGCUGAGGCGCGAAAGCGUGGGGAGCAAACAGGAUUAGAUACCCCAGUAGUCCCUGUCUCUUAUAC